UACGUAGGGGGCGAGCGUUGUCCGGAAUUACUGGGCGUAAAGAGUUCGUAGGCGGUUUGUCGCGUCGUUUGUGAAAACCCGGGGCUCAACUUCGGGCUUGCAGGCGAUACGGGCAGACUUGAGUGUUUCAGGGGAGACUGGAAUCCUGGUGUAGCGGUGAAAUGCGCAGAUAUCAGGAGGAACACGGUGGCGAAGGCGGGU
rnacentral:rRNA from 1 species